CCUACGGGAGGCAGCAGUGGGGAAUAUUGCACACUGUGGGAAACCCUGAUGCAGCGACGCCGCGUGAGUGAAGAAGUAAUUCGUUAUGUAAAGCUCUCUCAGCAGGGAAGAAAAUGACGGUACCUGAGUAAGAAGCCCCGGCUAACUACGUGCCAGCAGCCUCGAUAAUACGUAGGGGUCAAGCGUUAUCCGGAUUUACUGGGUGUAAAGGGCGCGUAGACGGCAGUUCAAGUCUGGAGUGAAAGGCGGGGGCUCAACCCCCGGACUGCUCUGGAAACUGUACGGCUGGAGUGCAGGAGAGGUAAGUGGAAUUCCUAGUGUAGCGGUGAAAUGCGUAGAUAUUAGGAGGAACACCAGUGGCGAAGGCGGCUUACUGGACUGUAACUGACGUUGAGGCUCGAAAGCGUGGGGAGCAAACAGGAUUAGAUACCCCUGUAGUC
rnacentral:rRNA from 1 species